rnacentral:rRNA from 1 species
CGUGUCGUCAGCUCGUGUCGUGAGAUGUUGGGUUAAGUCCCGCAACGAGCGCAACCCUUGUGUUUAGUUGCAAACAGGUCAAGCUGUGCACUCUAGACAGACUGCCGUGGACAACACGGAGGAAGGUGGGGAUGACGUCAAAUCAUCAUGCCCCUUAUGAUCUGGGCUACACACGUGCUACAAUGGCCGGUACAACGGGCAGCGAAGGAGCGAUCCGGAGCGAAUCCUAAAAAGCCGGUCCCAGUUCGGAUUGCAGGCUGAAACUCGCCUACAUGAAGUUGGAGUUGCUAGUAAUCGCGAAUCAGAAUGUCGCGGUGAAUGCGUUCCCGGGUCUU